UACGGGGGGGGCAAGCGUUUGUUCGGAAUUACUGGGCGUAAAGGGCGCGUAGGCGGUUCGCUAAGUUGAAUGUGAAAACUCUGGGCUUAACCCAGAGCCUGCAUUCAAUACUGGCGGGCUAGAGUUCUGGAGGGGAUAGCGGAAUUCCUGGUGUAGCGGUGAAAUGCGUAGAUAUCAGGAGGAACACCGGUGGCGAAGGCGGCUAUCUGGACAGAGUCUGACGCUGAGGCGCGAAAGCUAGGGGAGCAAACAGG
rnacentral:rRNA from 1 species